rnacentral:misc_RNA from 1 species
UUGGGAGACACCAGCAGCAGUUGCAGUUCGUUUCGAAAUCACCAGAUCGUCUGUUUGAUCAUGAAGCUGAUAAUAACCAUAAUGAUCAUCGUGGCUUUGGUGUGGCAGCAAGCAGCUUUAGUUGAUGGGUGCGUUGAACUUGGACACAAAUGUCUCGACUGGGUCUGUUGCGAAGGGCUCAUAUGUGGUACUCCUCUAGGAAAAAGGGAAUUCAAUUGCAAAUCGAAAGCUUGGAAACCAUUUUGAAUUCUUCAGAAUGUUAUUGGCUACUUUUGUCUCAUGUCGUAGCCAUGUAUCAAGACAUGAAGAGUAUUUGUGCGGUUUGAUGCUAAUAAUGAUCAUGUCAGACAUUGUCUACUCUGCUUGAUGAGUAAAGGAUAGAGAAAUGCUU